rnacentral:rRNA from 1 species
UGGGGAAUCUUCCGCAAUGGACGAAAGUCUGACGGAGCAACGCCGCGUGAGUGAUGACGGCCUUCGGGUUGUAAAGCUCUGUUAAUCGGGACGAAUGGUUCUUGUGCGAAUAGUGCAAGGAUUUGACGGUACCGGAAUAGAAAGCCACGGCUAACUACGUGCCAGCAGCCGCGGUAAUACGUAGGUGGCAAGCGUUGUCCGGAAUUAUUGGGCGUAAAGCGCGCGCAGGCGGAUUGGUCAGUCUGUCUUAAAAGUUCGGGGCUUAACACCGUGAUGGGAAGGAAACUGCCAAUCUAGAGUAUCGGAGAGGAAAGUGGAAUUCCUAGUGUAGCGGUGAAAUGCGUAGAUAUUAGGAAGAACACCAGUGGCGAAGGCGACGUUCUGGACGAAAACUGACGCUGAGGAGCGAAAGCCAGGGGAGCGAACGGG